rnacentral:lncRNA from 1 species
GGUGGGAGGUAUUUUUAGGCAGGCUCAGGUGCAGACGGAGACAUUACGCCAUGGCCCGACAGGUGGUUAAUAUUUAAUCCCUUCCUUAAUCAUUAACUCCCUGGCUGGCUAGAGAGGAAUGGGACUGUUGUCAAAUCAGUAACCACAGGCGAGGAACAAUGUCCACAGAUUUCAUUGCCUCUCCCGCAGGUGGGAGUGCUGGCCAGGUGGGGUCGUCCCUGGCCCUGGGGGCCCUGGUUCAUCUCCUUCCGGUGGUGACCUCAGGACAAGAAGAGAGUACGAGAAGACUCGGCCACGAGACCAAACUGUGUGAACAAAUGGUGCUGAUGGUCCAGGGGCCGGGACGGAAUCCCCCCAGACAGCCUGGCCAAAGGGUGCAGUCUCCUACUUCCCAGGACUGCUUGAGGGAGACAGGACAAGCAUCCCCGUUAUACAGAAGAAGAAACUGAAGUCAAGGGAAGUCAGAGAAGCAGGGAGAGAAAGAAGUCGAUGCCAACAGGAGGCGGAGAGGACAGGCUGAGCGAGUGUCCCUCGAAGGACCAUGUGCCUGCCCUUCGUGCGUGGCUUCGUGACUCAGUUCUUCCUCUGAUUGUAGGAGAGUUCCUGAAUCCUUGAAUAAACUCCUCUUUUUCUAAAACUAGUUUGAGUUUCCAUCACUAGCAAAUGAAAAUUGCUGACCAAAUGCAUCAUCACAGCUUCCCUACCCAUCAUU